rnacentral:rRNA from 1 species
UACGGAGGGGGGCUAGCGUUGUUCGGAAUUACUGGGCGUAAAGCGCACGUAGGCGGCUUUGCAAGUUAGAGGUGAAAGCCCGGGGCUCAACUCCGGAAUUGCCUUUAAAAACUGCAUCGCUAGAAUUGUGGAGAGGUAAGUGGAAUUCCGAGUGUAGAGGUGAAAUUCGUAGAUAUUCGGAAGAACACCAGUGGCGAAGGCGACUUACUGGACACAUAUUGACGCUGAGGUGCGAAAGCGUGGGGGGGCAAACAGGG